rnacentral:rRNA from 1 species
AGAACUUAGCAGAGAUGCUUUGGUGCCUUUCGGGGAACUCUGAGACAGGUGCUGCAUGGCUGUCGUCAGCUCGUGUUGUGAAAUGUUGGGUUAAGUCCCGCAACGAGCGCAACCCUUAUCCUUUGUUGCCAGCGGUUAGGCCGGGAACUCAAAGGAGACUGCCAGUGAUAAACUGGAGGAAGGUGGGGAUGACGUCAAGUCAUCAUGGCCCUUACGAGUAGGGCUACACACGUGCUACAAUGGCGCAUACAAAGAGAAGCGACCUCGCGAGAGCAAGCGGACCUCAUAAAGUGCGUCGUAGUCCGGAUUGGAGUCUGCAACUCGACUCCAUGAAGUCGGAAUCGCUAGUAAUCGUGGAUCAGAAUGCCACGGUGAAUACGUUCCCGGGCCUUGUACACACCGCCCGUCACACCAUGGGAGUGGGUUGCAAAAGAAGUAGGUAGCUUAACCUUCGGGAGGGCGCUUACCACUUUGUGAUUCAUGACUGGGGUGAAGUCGUAACAAGGUAGGCGUAGUGCU